GUGCCAGCAGCCGCGGUAAUACGUAGGACCCAAGCGUUGUCCGGAUUCACUGGGUAUAAAGGGUGCGUAGGCGGUCUUGUGCGUCAGAGGUGAAAUCUCCGGGCUUAACCCGGAGGGUGCCUUUGAUACGGCAGGACUUGAGUGCAGGAGAGGAUGAUGGAAUUCCUGGUGUAGCGGUGAAAUGCGUAGAUAUCAGGAGGAACACCGGUGGCGAAGGCGGUCAUCUGGUCUGCAACUGACGCUGAGGCACGAAAGCGCGGGGAUCAAACAGGAUUAGAUACCCUCGUAGUCC
rnacentral:rRNA from 1 species